CCUGCCCAAGAGAUCGGGAUAACACCUGGAAACAGAUGCUAAUACCGGAUAACAACAGAUGAUGCCUAUCAACUGUUUAAAAGAUGGUUCUGCUAUCACUCUUGGAUGGACCUGCGGUGCAUUAGCUAGUUGGUAGGGUAACGGCCUACAAAGGCGAUGAUGCAUAGCCGAGUUGAGAGACUGAUCGGCCACAUUGGGACUGAGACACGGCCCAAACUCCUACGGGAGGCAGCAGCA
rnacentral:rRNA from 1 species